CCUGGUGGCUCAAACAGUAAAGAAUCUGCCUGUAAUGCAGGAGACCCAGGUUCGAUCCCUGGGUCAGGA
rnacentral:tRNA from 1 species